GACAGAGGGUGCAAACGUUGUUCGGAAUUACUGGGCGUAAAGCGCGUGUAGGCGGCUAUGCAAGUCGGGCGUGAAAUCCCUCGGCUCAACCGAGGAAGUGCACUCGAAACUGCGUAGCUAGAGUCUCGGAGAGGAAGGAGGAAUACUUGGUGUAGAGGUGAAAUUCGUAGAUAUCAAGUGGAACACCGGUGGCGAAGGCGGCCUUCUGGACGAUGACUGACGCUGAGACGCGAAAGCGUGGGGAGCAAACAGG
rnacentral:rRNA from 1 species